AGAGUUUGAUUAUGGCUCAGGAUGAACGCUGGCGGCGUGCCUAACACAUGCAAGUCGAACGGAGACAGAGAGACGUUUUCGGACAGACCUCUAUCUUAGUGGCGGACGGGUGAGUAACGCGUGGAUAACCUGCCUCUUUCUGGGGGAUAGCAGUUGGAAACGACUGAUAAUACCGCAUAAGUUCCUUUUCUCGCAUGAGGGGAGGAAGAAAGAUUUAUCGGGAAGAGAUGGAUCCGCGUCUGAUUAGCCAGUUGGCGGGUAACGGCCCACCAAAGCGACGAUCAGUAGCCGGCCUGAGAGGGUGAACGGCCACAUUGGGACUGAGACACGGCCCAAACUCCUACGGGAGGCAGCAGUGGGGAAUAUUGCACAAUGGGCGCAAGCCUGAUGCAGCGAACCGCCGCGUGAGUGAAGAAGUAUUUCGGUAUGUAAAGCUCUAUCAGCAGGGAAGAAAGGCCCGAAAGGGAGAUGACGGUACCUGACUAAGAACGCCCCGGCUAACUACGUGCCAGCCGCAGC
rnacentral:rRNA from 1 species